UACGAAGGGGGCGAGCGUUGUUCGGAAUUACUGGGCGUAAAGGGCGCGUAGGCGGCGACUCUAGUCAGAUGUGAAAGUCCUGGGCUUAACCUGGGGACUGCAUUUGAUACUGGGUUGCUUGAAUUCGGGAGAGGAUAGCGGAAUUCCCAGUGUAGAGGUGAAAUUCGUAGAUAUUGGGAAGAACACCGGUGGUGAAGGCGGCUAUCUGGACCGACAUUGACGCUGAGGCGCGAAAGCGUGGGGAGCAAACAGG
rnacentral:rRNA from 1 species